GACGUAGGAGGCGAGCGUUGUCCGGAUUCAUUGGGCGUAAAGAGCGCGCAGGCGGCUUGGUAAGUCGGAUGUGAAAUCCCGAGGCUCAACCUCGGGUCUGCAUCCGAUACUGCCCGGCUAGAGGUAGGUAGGGGAGAUCGGAAUUCCUGGUGUAGUGGUGAAAUGCGUAGAUAUCGUAAGGAAGACCAGUGGCGAAGGCGGGUCUCUGGACAGUUCCGUGACGCUGAGGCACGAAGGCCAGGGGAGGCAAACGGG
rnacentral:rRNA from 1 species